GAACAGGCAGCCUGUUCCAGUGCCUCACCACUCUUUCUGAGAAGAAUUUUUUCCUAAUAUCUAGCCUGAACCUCCCCGGUGCAUCUUAAAGCCAUAACCUCUUAUCCUAAGAAGGAGAGAAAGGAGGGAAGAAGGGAAGAAAGGACGAUAGAUAGGAAGAAGAAAAAAGAGAAAGAGAGAAGAGAGAGAGAAGGCACUGUGGGAAUGCCAUGUGGGUUAGAGUCCAUGGUGAGGAGUGGUAUUGAUGUGGAGAAGGCCGGACUCUUAGGAUCUCAGCUGAAAGAGAAAUUACUGCCCAUUAAAGGGAAAGCAAAGGUGAAGCUGAAGCAAUUGAAGUGUUUGGGAUGUUGUGCAUGAGCAGUCUACCACUACAGAUGAAGAAGAUGUACUGAGCAAGUUAAAUAUCUCUGUGACCGGUACUAUGAAAGCCAAUAUUAUGAAGCACCAAAGAAAGGUGUGAAAAAUCUGUAGGACUGUUUAUACUCCUGGCCAUCCUCCCACAGAAAGACCCUAUUAAGUCAAGAUGCCAGAUUAACAGCCCUAGAGACUUUCUGUUCCAAGGACAUCCCAAGGACCAGCAGUGAGAGUCCAGUUUUUGCCAUGCUGCCCCUGCAAUGUGACAUUGAUAUGACUAUAGUGACCAAAGGAGAAGGUAGCUCAAAUUGUUCAGGUCAGAGUGUUCAGGUAAG